rnacentral:tRNA from 1 species
GAGAUGUUAGUAAAAUAAUUACACUACCUUGUCAAGGUAGAAUAAUAGGUUAAACCCCUGUACAUUUCA